rnacentral:rRNA from 1 species
GCUGGUGGCGUGCCUUAUACAUGCAAGUCGAACGAGAACGGGUGUUAGUUUGCUAACAUUGUCAGCUAAGUGGCGCACGGGUGAGUAAUACAUAGAUAACAUGCCCUUUAGAGAGGGAUAACUGUUGGAAACGACAGCUAAUACCUCAUAUGCUAUAUAUCAUAAGAUAUAUAGUGAAAAGGUUAAUUCUGCUAAAGGAUUGGUCUAUGACCUAUUAGUUAGUUGGUGAGGUAAAGGCUCACCAAGACAAUGACGGGUAGCUGGUUUGAGAGGAUGAACAGCCACACUGGGACUGAGACACGGCCCAAACUCCUACGGGAGGCAGCAGUGGGGAAUAUUGCACAAUGGGCGGAAGCCUGAUCCAGCAAUGCCGCGUGUGUGAAGAAGGCCCUAGGGUUGUAAAGCACUU